GUCGAGUUGUAUUUGUAGAGGAUGCUUCGGGCGCGGCGCCGGUCUAAGUCCCUUGGAACAGGGCGUCAUAGAGGGUGAGAAUCCCGUAUGCGACCGGCGACCAACCCCGUGUGAAGCUCCUUCGACGAGUCGAGUUGUUUGGGAAUGCAGCUCAAAAUGGGAGGUAAAUUUCUUCUAAAGCUAAAUACCGGCCAGAGACCGAUAGCGCACAAGUAGAGUGAUCGAAAGAUGAAAAGCACUUUGGAAAGAGAGUCAAACAGUACGUGAAAUUGUUGAAAGGGAAGCGCUUGCAACCAGACCUGCCCGCGGGCGAUCAACC
rnacentral:rRNA from 1 species